GAGGCACACGCCUCUUUCUUCUUCCUUUCUCACGCGUUAUUUUCUGAAAAAAACACAGAGGAGCAACAGCAAUAGUCACUUGCCUCACAUUCUCAGUUUCUCACGAUGAUGAAAAACAACAAACUCGGUGGUCCUUCUCUCUCGAGCCCUCAAUCGUGAACAACAACAAUCAGAACUCUUGUUUCUCUUAGCUCACUCUCUCUGCGAAUAAUAGCAACGGAAAAGAGAGCUCUCUCUCUCUCUCUCAAUUUCUCACGGCUACCAUGAGAGGAGCUCAGAGACUCUCAGCUUCUUAUGAUUCAAACCAAACAGUUUUCACUCUCGGCGAAACAACAACAACUUGGUCUCUCUUGCCCAGACAACAAGUUUCGAUUCAUAUGUUUGAAGAUAAACUCAAGAAACUUGCAGUAAUAAUUAUCAUGUGUUAACAGAGACUAAUUACCAACAAUUUUCAGUGAUAAAGAGUGAAAUCGAGUUACCUGCGGCGAGGAGAUUUUCGCCGGAUUUUGUUGAGCUAUGAAACGCAAAUUUGCUGUUGUUGCAACUGUUGUUGUUGCUGAAUUUUUGAACCUUAUGCUUGCUGCUAGUUGUUAACAACCUUGAAUGGCUUUUGAUGAAGGUGAUGCCAUAACACCUCUUUGGAUUAUGGGAGAACUUGAAGAUGGAACUUCAAGUUGUUGAAAGCUUGAAGAUGAAGAUCUUCAAGUAAGGUAUGAAAAACCACUACCUUUUCACUCUUUCUCUCUUUUUUUGUAGAAUAACACUUAGAAGUAGGAGAAUUCUAUGUGUUACUCUUGCCCUCUU